GGGGGCAUGGUUCAGUGGUAGAGUAUCGGCUUGGUAUCUAGAAGGUCGCAGGUUCAAUUCCCGUCAUCUCCA
rnacentral:tRNA from 1 species